rnacentral:tRNA from 1 species
ACCUGGGUGGCUCAGUCGGUUGAGCAUCUGACUUCGACUCAGGUCAUGAUCUUGCAGUUCCUGGGUU